GACGGGAUGCUAUGGUCCACCUUUUAGGUUGGAGCAGUGUGUCUAGUCCUACUUUCUAGGGACGCUAUAGCCUUUACGGGUGUGUAGCUGUGUCUAGGACUUUUACUUUGAAGAAAUUAGAGUGUUUAAGGCAGGCUUGUGCUUGAAUACAUUAGCAUGGAAUAAUAGAAUAGGACUCUGGUCUUAUUUUGUUGGUUUUAAAGGCUGGGGUA
rnacentral:rRNA from 1 species